GAUGAACGCUGGCGGCGUGCCUAACACAUGCAAGUCGAGCGAACGGACGAGAAGCUUGCUUUUCUGAUGUUAGCGGCGGACGGGUGAGUAACACGUGGAUAACCUACCUAUAAGACGGGGAUAACUACGGGAAACCGGAGAUAAUAACGGAUAAUAUUUUGAACCGCAUGGUUCAAAAGUGAAAGACGGUCUUGCUGUCAGUAAUAGAUGGAUCCGCGCUGCAUUAGCUAGUUGGUAAGGUAACGGCUUACCAAGGCAACGAUGCAUAGCCGACCUGAGAGGCUGAUCGGCCACACUGGAACUGAGACACGGUCCAGACUCCUACGGGAGGCAGCAGUAGGGAAUCUUCCGCAAAGGGCGAAAGCCUGACGCAGCCACGCCGCGUGAGUGAUGAAGGCCUUCGGAUCGUAAAGCUCUGUUAUUAGGGAAGAACAUAUGUGUAAUUAACUGUGCCCAUCUUGACGGUACCUAAUCAGAAAGCCCCGGCUAACUACGUG
rnacentral:rRNA from 1 species